CGGGCAUGCCUCAGUACGGCGAGUGAGCGGCAAGAGCUCAAAUUUGAAAUCUGGCCCUUUCAGGGUCCGAGUUGUAAUUUGCAGAGGAUGCUUCGGGUGCGGUCCCCAUCUAAGUGCCCUGGAACGGGCCGUCAUAGAGGGUGAGAAUCCCGUCUGGGAUGGGCGGCCGUGCCCGUGUGAAGCUCCUUCGACGAGUCGAGUUGUUUGGGAAUGCAGCUCUAAGUGGGUGGUAAAUUUCAUCUAAAGCUAAAUACUGGCCGGAGACCGAUAGCGCACAAGUAGAGUGAUCGAAAGAUGAAAAGCACUUUGAAAAGAGAGUUAAACAGCACGUGAAAUUGUUGAAAGGGAAGCGUUGUCCACCAGACUCGCCCGGGGGGGUUCAGCCGGCACGUGUGCCGGUGUACUCCUCUCCGGGCGGGCCAGCAUCGGUUUGGGCGGCUGGUGAAAGGCCCCGGGAAUGUAGCACCCUUCGGGGUGCCUUAUAGCCCGGGGUGCCAUACAGCCAGCCUGGACCGAGGCCCGCGCUUCGGCGAGGAUGCUGGCGUAAUGGUGGUCAACGGCCCGUCUUGAAAACACGGACCCAC
rnacentral:rRNA from 1 species